rnacentral:rRNA from 1 species
AUUGAACGCUGGCGGCAGGCCUAACACAUGCAAGUCGAACGAGUGGCGGACGGGUGAGUAAUGUCUGGGAAACUGCCUGAUGGAGGGGGAUAACUACUGGACACGGUAGCUAAUACCGCAUACCAUCGGAUGUGCCCAGAUGGGAUUAGCUAGUAGGUGGGGUACAGGCUCACCUAGGCGACGAUCCCUAGCUGGUCUGAGAGGAUGACAAGCCACACUGGAACGGAGCUACGGUCCAGACGCCUAACGGAGGCAGCAGAGGGGAAUAUUGCACAAUGGGCGAAAGCCUGAUGCAGCCAUGCCGCGUGGAUGAAGAAGGCCUUCGGGUUGGAAAGUACUUUUAGCGGGGAGGCGGUACUAUCAGAAGAAGCACCGGCUAACUCCGUGCCAGCAGCCGCGGUAAUUC